ACGUAGGUGGCAAGCGUUGUCCGGAUUUAUUGGGCGUAAAGAGCGCGCAGGCGGUCCGUCAAGUCCGGGGUGAAAUCUCCCGGCUCAACUGGGAGGGGUCUUCGGAUACUGCCGGACUCGAGGAGAGCAGAGGUGAGUGGAAUUCUGGGUGUAGUGGUGAAAUGCGUAGAUAUCCAGAGGAACACCAGCGGCGAAGGCGGCUCACUGGGCUCCACCUGACGCUGAGGCGCGAAAGCGUGGGGAGCGAACCGGAUUAGAUACCCGGGUAGUCCACGCUGUAAACGAUGGGCACUAGGUGUGGGGGGUAUUGACCCCCUCCGUGCCGAAGCUAACGCAAUAAGUGCCCCGCCUGGGGAGUACGGCCGCAAGGCUA
rnacentral:rRNA from 1 species